rnacentral:rRNA from 1 species
UACGUAGGGUGCGAGCGUUGUCCGGAAUUAUUGGGCGUAAAGAGCUCGUAGGCGGUCUGUCGCGUCGAUCGUGAAAACUUGGGGCUUAACCCUGAGCUUGCGGUCGAUACGGGCAUGACUGGAGUUCGGCAGGGGAGACUGGAAUUCCUGGUGUAGCGGUGAAAUGCGCAGAUAUCAGGAGGAACACCGGUGGCGAAGGCGGGUCUCUGGGCCGAUACUGACGCUGAGGAGCGAAAGCAUGGGUAGCGAACAGG